GACGAACGCUGGCGGCGUGCCUAAUACAUGCAAGUAGAACGCAGUGGCGAACGGGUGAGUAACGCGUAGGUAACUGCCUCAUAGCGGGGGAUAACUAUUGGAAACGAGAGCUAAUACCGCAUACUGUGAGAUGGACCUGCGUUGUAUUAGCUAGUUGGUGAGGGAAAGGCUCACCAAGGCGAAGAUACAUAGCCGGCCUGAGAGGGUGGACGGGCACACUGGGACUGGGGCACGGCCCCGACUUCUACCGGAGGCAGCAGUAGGGGAACUUUGGCAAUGGAGGGAAGUCUGACCGAGCCACUCCGCGGGGAUGAAGGAGGGUCUCGGAUCUUAAAGCUCUGUUGUUAGGGAAGCGGUACCUAACCAGAAAGCGACGGCUAACUACGUGCCAGCAGCCGCGGUAAUAC
rnacentral:rRNA from 1 species